GAUGAACGCUGGCGGCGUGCCUAAUACAUGCAAGUCGAGCGAACGGACGAGAAGCUUGCUUCUCUGAUGUUAGCGGCGGACGGGUGAGUAACACGUGGAUAACCUACCUAUAAGACUGGGAUAACUUCGGGAAACCGUAGCUAAUACCGGAUAAUAUUUUGAACCACAUGGUUCAAAAGUGAAAGACGGUCUUGCUGUCACUUAUAGAUGGAUCCGCGCUGCAUUAGCUAGUUGGUAAGGUAACGGCUUACCAAGGCAACGAUGCAUAGCCGACCUGAGAGGGUGAUCGGCCACACUGGAACUGAGACACGGUCCAGACUCCUACGGGAGGCAGCAGUAGGGAAUCUUCCGCAAUGGGCGAAAGCCUGACGGAGCAACGCCGCGUGAGUGAUGAAGGUCUUCGGAUCGUAAAACUCUGUUAUUAGGGAAGAACAUAUGUGUAAGUAACUGUGCACAUCUUGACGGUACCUAAUCAGAAAGCCACGGCUAACUACGU
rnacentral:rRNA from 1 species